rfam:Aspergillus niger ATCC 1015, whole genome shotgun sequence.
GGCAAGAUGGCCGAGUGGUUUAAGGCGUCGCACUUAAGUCGUUGGACAACUGGUUUAGUUUACUAGCUGGGCUGGUGCUGUUUGGCGGAAAUGCGAUCUCGUAAGAGGCGCGGGUUCGAACCCCGUUCUUGCCA